CCCCUUCCCUCGGCGCCCACCUUCUCCAGGCCCUGCUCCGAGGUCCGGACGCCCCUCCUCCGCCGCCCCACGCGACGUUGGCAUUCUGUCACCGCCCUUUCCUUGCCCUCCUCCUCCACCAAGCCGCCUGGGCUGAUGUCUUCCGGGCACCUUCCGCCUGGUUUCUAAGGGGAAGUUCCUCCUCGGAUCCCGGCGAAAGAAGGUCUCCUGGGGACAUAGUGGCAAAGUCCCUCCCGCCCUGCACUGACCCCUCUGCACCCACGCGGUCCAGUGGCUGUACGUGGCUGAAGAGCGAACAGUGUGGGGGUCUCCGUGUUUUGACGGCCUCAGUUGACUGCGUCUGAGGGGCCAGAGGUGGGCGAGGUCUGCGGGGCUGGUGGUCUUGCAGGCCCGUGGGCUGAGAGAGGAAGACCCAGGGAAGCAGCAGCCAGAGGCUUUCCCCAAACAUCGGCCUGGUGGUCCGUUCCCAGGACAGGGGAGGUGGAGCCAGCCCUGGCCAGCGAAAUCUCACUGCCACCCCCUGCAGUCCCACCAGCCGGCAGGCUCCCUCUCCCACUCCCACCACUGCCCGCCCGGCGCACUGUGCCUGGGGUACUCUUCUCCUCGUCCUCCUAAAACCUUUUUGCUCCUUUCCCUUGGGACCCAGGUGGCACCUCUUCAAUGAGCCUUCCUUGACUACCUUUCCCAAAACUCCCUCUCCCCUCCCUGUCCCCUUGAUGCUUAUUUUUCUGCCGCACAGCACCCUUACCUCCUCCGCACAUCACAUCCAAGCAGACGUUCUGCUGACGGCCUGGCUCUCCCACGGGGAAGGUCUGUUUUCGGCAUGGCUGUACCCCGGGCCUAGGACUUUGCCUGAGAUUCAUAUGCCGAAGCCCUAACCCCCAUAUGACAGCAUUUGAAGAUACGCAUAUCAGGAGGGUUAACAAGAAAUGAAUUAUUCUGGAAGCCCGGCCCAGUGGCGUGUACUGUAAUCCCAGCAGCUCAGGAGGCUGAGACAGGAGGAUGGUCUAUGGUCAGUUCAUCUCAAGAGCCUCCGUGGGCCUAGGGGAAGCUUUCCCUGGGUCCCUACACUGCCCAGUGUGUCCCGUCUGGAUUCCAGGCCAGCUCUGCUGACUCCGCCGCCGCUGCUUCCCAGCGUGUCCUGCGGCAACACGGCCAGCUCUCAGGACGCUCUGACCUGAGCCUCGUCCCAGGAGAGGCCUGGGCCCUUCACCUUGAGCACAAGACUGUGGGUAGAUCUAGGGAGUCUUCAGGGAGCCACAACUUUACUUCUAGCUUCUGACUGAAAUUCCACCUGCCUCCUGCCUUUCAUUAGGAUUGUGGGCUAUGACUGCAGGUUCACAGGUAGGGACUGUGACCAUCACAGUGUCCACGUGGGGACCAGCAGAAGGGUGAGUCAGAGGCAUGCCUGCCCUGCCAGAGCUGUGGGGAAAGGCCAGGACGCCCAAGGACUCCACUCAGGGAUGUGUGGUCAGCUUUGAGGGUACAAAGAUGACGGGGGAAUUGGUAGGGGCUGGGACCACAAAGGUCUGUGAGGACGAGGCUGCCAAAGGCAUGCACAAGAGGGCGCAGGAGACUUGGCCAGAGCUGUCCCCACAGGAAUGGAGAUGGGAAGGAGAUGAGGUCACAGAGGCAGGCCUUGGUGCCCCAGUGACAAGAAGCCAGAACCCAGGGCCCCUCACCCUGAGGCCCGCACUUCCCAGCUUUGAGGACGCGACACUAUUUGUUGCCUCCCCUGUGCCAGCCUAGAAGGCAGGUGAAGCACCCUGAAGAGCAGGAGCUUGUCUGAGCCAGAGUGAACGGCCACGGGGGACACAGGUGUCCUGGUGGCCCAGAGCAGCUGCACCGGAUGAGCUUUUACAAAGUGGCGGCCGUGUACCCAGCUUCAAGCUACCAGGCCAGCUGGGAGUUACACCCCCUGUCAAGAAUCAUGACUGCCGCUGACAGAAAUCAGGCCGUCUUGUAAGAAAGGGGUUGGUCCCGGUCUCUGGCAGUUGGGCACCAGGUUCCUUGGUGAAAGGUUAACAGUGUUUUAGAAAACCACACUUUGGCCCAGAGCAAAGUCAGGAGGAAUCUGCAGCCAGUUCAAAGAGUCAGCUCCUAGUGUGCCGGAGACCUUACUCCCCGUGUUCGCCGGCUUUUCCUCCUGAGACAAAAUACCUGAGGGAAACAACUUUCUUUGUCUCGUAGUUUCUGAGGUUUCCAUCCACAGCCAGCAGACCCCAUUGCUCUGGGCCUAGAGUGAGGGAGAGCGUCCCAGCAGACGGGCUUGUAGGGCAAGGCCACUCACCUCAU